rnacentral:rRNA from 1 species
UACAGAGGGUGCAAGCGUUAAUCGGAAUUACUGGGCGUAAAGCGUGCGCAGGCGGUGAGCUGUGUCCGAUGUGAAAGCCCCGGGCUUAACCUGGGAAUGGCAUUGGAAACUGGCUCGCUGGAGUGUGGCAGAGGGGGGUGGAAUUCCGCGUGUAGCAGUGAAAUGCGUAGAGAUGCGGAGGAACACCGAUGGCGAAGGCAGCCCCCUGGGCUAACACUGACGCUCAGGCACGAAAGCGUGGGGAGCAAACAGG